AGAACUCAUGGGAGUCAACUUACAUAAACGGAUUGGUUACAAGAUAGACCAUCAAACAGAGAAAUGCCAUCUGAAGAAGGAACAUUAAAUGGUGAGUCUGUGUGGUAGAUUGAACGUGAAAAAAAUGAGAAUCUUACAUGAUCUGUUACAGCAAACACCACAUUAUUCUAGGUCUCACUUCUCCAUUUAAGCCAGCUAUGGAUACAAAUUACUAUUAUUCAGCUGUGGAAAGAAAUAACUUGAUGAGGUUAUCACAGAGCAUUCCAUUUACACCUGUGCCUCCAAGAGGGGAGCCUGUCACAGUGUAUCGUUUGGAAGAGAGUUCACCCAACAUACUAAAUAACAGCAUGUCUUCUUGGUCACAACUAGGCCUCUGUGCCAAAAUAGAGUUUUUAAGCAAAGAGGAGAUGGGAGGAGGUUUACGAAGAGCUGUCAAAGUACAGUGUACCUGGUCAGAACAUGAUA
rnacentral:lncRNA from 1 species